CCUGUGUCUGCUCAACACCCAGGGGACUUCCAUCCUGACUGACGGUGGAGGUGUCAGAGGCUGGGCCUGACCACAGGCUUCUUGUAGGAGUUCGAGGAUACUGCAGGCUUGACCCAGCGCUCAACUGCCAAGCCACCCUAACCCCCAAGACAGUCCAGGUGGACACAAUUGAUGGGCAUUUGCUUCUGGUGAAGAGACAACACUUGAUGAUCCUGGAGAAGCCAGACCAUGAGCUUCACUUUGAGACUCUGGCUCAAGCUGACCAGCCCAGAUGCAGCCCUCACCAGAAGCCGACCAGAUGCAGCUACCCAAUCUGGAACUUCCUAGCCUCCAGAACAGUAAGCUAAAUAAACUUCUUUGCUAUAUAAAUUACCCAAUCUCAAGCAUUCUGUGACAGCAACAGAAAAGAGACUAAGACAGGCUGUCAAUGUAUUUGUAUAUUUUCCUAUCCGAUGACAAAUAGGCAAAGCAACUUUACGAUCAUAGAAAUCAGGAAAUAGCUGUCUUGGCAGAUGAAUGGAAAGGAGCAUGAGAGAACUUUCUGGAAUAAUGGCAAUGUUUUAUCGUUUGUUUUGGGUGGUUGUUACAAGGGUGGAAUUUGUCAAAACCAAACUGAACACUUGAGACCUAUAUACUUCACUGUAUGAAAACCGUAGAUCAAUAAAUAAUUCCCUUGUCGAGAUUGAUGUGUUUAAGUGUUCCAGGAUGUGAAUCUGCAGGUGCAUGUGUGUGCAUGUACGCAUGUGUGUGAGUCUGUGUAUAUGUCUGUGACCUUGGUAUGGGGUCUGGGCUGUAGAAAACUAUGUGGACUUGGGCACACAGCAAGUACACAUUACAGAACUUCAGCUUGGCCCUCAUAGCCACUAGCUAAUCCCACUCUUGUUUUUCCACAUUUGACCAGCAUUUUCCCAGUGAUCACAACUGUUAUCCAAACCAAAUCCUCUUUGGGAGCAACUUCUCUAAUUUUCUAUUCUUGCCUGGGAAAGUUAAGGCCACUGGCUGUGAGUCGCCCUCCUCCACCAACUG
rnacentral:lncRNA from 1 species